rnacentral:rRNA from 1 species
GAUGAACGCUGGCGGCGUGCCUAAUACAUGCAAGUCGAGCGAACAGACGAGGAGCUUGCUCCUCUGACGUUAGCGGCGGACGGGUGAGUAACACGUGGAUAACCUACCUAUAAGACUGGGAUAACUUCGGGAAACCGGAGCUAAUACCGGAUAAUAUAUUGAACCGCAUGGUUCAAUAGUGAAAGACGGUUUUGCUGUCACUUAUAGAUGGAUCCGCGCCGCAUUAGCUAGUUGGUAAGGUAACGGCUUACCAAGGCAACGAUGCGUAGCCGACCUGAGAGGGUGAUCGGCCACACUGGAACUGAGACGCGGUCCAGACUCCUACGGGAGGCAGCAGUAGGGAAUAUUCCGCAAUGGGCGAAAGCCUGACGGAGCAACGCCGCGUGAGUGAUGAAGGUCUUCGGAUCGUAAAACUCUGUUAUUAGGGAAGAACAAAUGUGUAAGUAACUAUGCACGUCUUGACGGUACCUAAUCAGAAAGCCACGGCUAACUACGUG